AGAAGAAUUAAGUGAACAUGGGUUAAUUUUUGCAAAUGGUAUAGAUAAUUACAUGUUCUUAAAUAACGAUUUCAAUUAUCACAAAUUUUAUAAAAAGUAUCUAAUUCAACGUAAUUCAAAAAAUAAUAAAAUACUAAAUGCAAAAGAAUGGUGUGCCGAAAACGCAGCGAAUACUAGUACUUUUGUUGAAAAAAAAAAGAUUUUUGAUUACGAGGUACCAGACGAUUAUAAAAAUGAAAUAAAUACUACAUUAGUUAAUG